UGGCACCAGCACUGGCAGUGUC
rnacentral:miRNA from 1 species